rnacentral:rRNA from 1 species
CUCGUAGGCGGCCAACUAAGUCAGACGUGAAAUCCCUCGGCUUAACCGGGGAACUGCGUCUGAUACUGGAUGGCUUGAGUUCGGGAGAGGGAUGCGGAAUUCCAGGUGUAGCGGUGAAAUGCGUAGAUAUCUGGAGGAACACCGGUGGCGAAGGCGGCAUCCUGGACCGACACUGACGCUGAGGAGCGAAAGCCAGGGGAGCAAACGGGAUUAGAUACCCCGGUAGUCCUGGCCCUAAACGAUGAAUGCUUGGUGUGGCGGGUAUCGAUCCCUGCCGUGCCGAAGCUAACGCAUUAAGCAUUCCGCCUGGGGAGUACGGUCGCAAGGCUGAA